CUCUUCCCCUUUUACUUCACGUGAACCAGAAAAGUAAAACAAAAUUUCAAACCCUGCUUCAACUUCACGUGGACUCUCAUUGCACCGCCGCACCAACCACCGCCGUCAACCACGACGCUGCUCCUCCUCAAUCCGACGGUCGGUACUUCUUCUUCCUCCCCUUCUCCUUCGUUUUCCCUUUUCCCUUUCGUUUUCCUCCUCUCGAUCCUUAUGUGACGGUUAUGUUUACUCGGCAGCCACCACCGAGCCGCUGCCACCAUCGACCCGCACAACCAACGCACACCACCAGUCGCGUCGUUGCACUAGCCGCCGCAGUCUCCCGGUCAGGCUGUCCCUCCUUUCUCCUCCUCUCUUCUGUGCUUCUUGCUCAAUCACGCAACCACCGAGUGCGACCUCCACAGUCACCGCCUCCAACGGCGUCUCUCGUUCGACCACCAGACGCAACCACCUUCACUCUGCGCCCAGCCGCCGCUGCCGCGCCUCCCUUGCCGCCGGCCAGCAUCCCCUUGAAGCUUUAAUUGGCGGAGCAUUCUUUGUAGGCGACUUUUGAAAGUGUUAAAGUGGCCUACUAGUUGUUUAUACAAGUCUCUAAGGAUCAAUAAGCAUUGUCCAUCUGCAGGUUUGAAGAUGUUGCAUCAUUGGGAUCGGGAAUAGAGAGCUUGUAUUUAGUUUUGAUUUGCUAAGUUGACUUGGGUUUGCUUAACUGGACUUUAAACUUGUCAUACUAUUUAUAUUUCCUUAUUUUCGUUGGUUGAUUUUUGGGACUAAACCUGUAAUCGAUUAUUUAUAAACCUAAAGUUA